rnacentral:rRNA from 1 species
GGGAAAUAUGCUAUCGAUUGUGUAGCUAGGAGCAGAAGACGACCCAGACUUGGAGUCUUGUGUCCCAUCACUGUAAUUCAUUUUUUCCGGGGAUAUUUUCCACACUGCCAGCGGCCAGUACUCAACCAAGUCUGCUCUCCUCAUCCUCAAGCCUAUAGAUGAAUAAGUGAUGUUUCCUUUUGCACUUCUUCUUCUUCUUGCUCAACAUCUUGGUACAUAAAGAUGAGUAAAUUACUUGCCAUAGCGCUCCUGCUGCUGCCUCUCAUCAACCAAGGAAUCUACUUGGCCACGGCAUGGGAUGAUCAAGAUUUCUUCAAAUACUGCCCACCGUCCCAGUGCAGCCAACAUGGCCCAGAGGUCAGGUUUCCUUUCUGCCUUGAAUCCAGCAAUAAAUCGUCAUCAUCAUGUGGAUGUGCUGGCAGAUCAAUCAGGAAGUUAGCAUGCUCUAGGCAAGACACCAUCCUUUUUCACCCAGUUCUUGGCCUAUACAAUGUCAGCGCCAUAGAUUACAUAAAUUCUUCCAUGAAGAUCAUCCCGCUUGUAGACCCCUGUUUGGUGCUACAGCAGAAGCUCGUCAUCUCCAGAAGCUCGUCAUCUCCACAGGUUGAUGUUAUCAACGAUGAGAUGCCAAGUUUUUAUGACUAUUUCUUUGAUAGUUCAUCUUCAACCAUAGUACACUGUUCAAGAGAGUUCACACCUGCUGCUGCCCAUGCCGAUAGCAUUGCAGGCCCAGUCUCCUGCCUUAGCAACACAACCCACUUCUUUUAUUUGGUGAAUAGUUAUGAAGACAUGUCUAUUCUUCCGUUGGACUGCAAGGUCGUCCCACUCUCAGAUCGAGGUGGCAUCUCGUUACCAUAUAUUAAAGACCAAAUGUUCCAGAACUUCACGGAAACCGCAAAAAAAAUCCUCACUUUUGCUGAGACGGCAGUGUCUUGGUAUGUGGGAGACUGCAGACGAUGUGAGCUCAGUGGGCGACGCUGCGCAUUCAGCUCACAAAGGGAUAGAGAAUUCUGCAUGCCUGACCCUCAUGGUUCACAUAUCAAAGUCAUUGCAGGUACUGCUCUAUCAUUGUCUUUUUAACUUCAAAAUAUAAAGGAAAAAUAAAAGCUUUCUUUCGUACAAAUUCUUAUUGUUGGCUACUCUGACUCUUGACAUCCUCUUAUCAUAACAAAUACUAAGUAACUGCUUUUAAAUCCCGAUGCAAUAUGCUGAUGACCUAUUGUCUAUUUGUUUAGCUACAUCAUCGAUGGCCGCAUUUGUCUUUCUUUUGGUGACAGUGGCCACUGCACUUUAUGUUUCACUCAAGACAAGAUAUAAUGAGGAGAUACAUUUGAAGGUUGAAAUGUUCCUCAAGACAUAUGGAACAUCAAAGCCCACGAGGUACACAUUCUCUGAAGUUAAGAAGAUAGCAAGACGGUUCAAGGAAAAGGUGGGGCAGGGUGGAUUUGGAAGUGUAUACAAAGGCGAGCUACCAAAUGGAGUGCCCGUGGCAGUCAAGAUGCUAGAGAACUCUACAGGAGAGGGAGAAGCAUUCAUCAAUGAAGUUGCAACCAUCGGACUAAUCCACCAUGCCAAUAUUGUCCGCCUCCUGGGAUUUUGUUCCGAAGGAAUGAGGCGGGCUCUUAUUUAUGAAUUCAUGCCUAACGAGUCACUAGAGAAAUACAUAUUCUCUGAUGACCCUAACAUUUUUCAGAAUCUUCUAGUACCAGACAAGCUGCUAGAUAUUGCUUUAGGCAUCGCCAGAGGAAUGGAGUACUUGCAUCAAGGGUGCAACCAGCGCAUCCUCCACUUUGACAUCAAGCCUCACAAUAUCUUGCUGGAUUACAACUUCAAUCCAAAGAUCUCAGACUUUGGCCUUGCAAAGUUGUGCGCGAGGGACCAAAGCAUCGUCACCUUAACUGCAGCAAGAGGCACGAUGGGCUACAUUGCACCAGAGCUAUACUCUCGGAACUUUGGAGGAGUUUCGUACAAGUCAGACGUGUACAGUUUCGGCAUGCUGGUGCUAGAAAUGGUGAGCGGAAGGAGGAACGCGGACCCAAGAAUCGGGAGCCAGGACGAUGUUUACCUCCCUGAGUGGAUCUAUGAUAAAGUGAUCAAUGGGGAGGAGUUGGCGCUUACUUUGGAAACGACUCAAGAAGAGAAAGAGAAGGUGAGGAAGCUGGCUAUGGUGGCACUGUGGUGUAUCCAGUGGAACCCGAGAAACCGGCCGUCGAUGACAAAGGUCGUUAACAUGUUAACGGGGAGGUUGCAGAGUCUGCAGAUGCCCCCGAAGCCCUUCGUCUCAUCUGAAAAUGAACUCAUGCCAUAAAUGAAAACAGGGACUGCCAUACUCUGUCAACAUUCAAGGUUGUACUUUAUCUACGCGUGUGUUGCAACAAUAGCAACCACCGUGUUUUGAUGCUUUCAAUCCAUUAGGUCUGAAGCGAUGUCUGAAUAAUCACCGGACACUACCCUGUAAUAGUGCUACUAGUUGUUUGCAAGAUACUGCUACAAUCUACUUCCAUAUUUAUCAAUUUAUGUCCAAAAACUUACAACAGAGCUGUGUACAAUACAAUAAUCUGUUGAUUACCUUACUCGGUUGUUAUGCCGAUUAAUGUCCGC